GGAGAAUCGGGACGUCCACGCGCGUUGGGCGGGGCCUCUGGGGCGCUCGCAAUUCUGCCUUCAGUCCUGCGUGGGUCGGCGAGCCGCGGUCGGCUGGAGCAAGGAAUGGCACACAAUCUCAAAGACAAGAAACUUCUAGAAAAUGCAAGACCAGUUGUGUUGGUGGAUCCUUGCCUUAGUAUUUACAGUGCUCUGGGCUACCCCCAUUCAUGGAUGACUUUCAUCCCAACGUCAAAGUAGUGCAUCUGCCAUCGAAUACUGUGUCAUUCAUCCAACCUAUGGACCAGGGAGUUACAGUGACUUUCAGGAACUAUUAUUUAUAUAAUACUUUUCGUCAGGCGGUAAAGGCAAGUGACGAAUCAGAAACAACCUUGCGACAAUUUUGGAAGGACUAUAACAUCUACAAGGCCAUAAAACCCAUUGAUUUUGCUUGGUGUGAGGUUAUGGCCGUCACCAUGAAUGGGGUUUGGAAGAACCUUUGUUCAUGAUUUUUGUGUAUUUGAGAAGGUGGAUGAGGAGUCCAAAGAACUCUUCAGCAACUUAGUGACCCUCAGAGAGAAGGUGGAGCUAGAUCUGCAAGAGGACGACUUCAUUGAACUCCUGGCUGUGCAACACGAAGAGCAUACUAGUGAAGAUCUGAUGGAAUUGGAGGCCCAGAGAAAGGACGAAGAGAGACAAGAGGAAGAAGAAGUAACUGAAGAACCGAAGAGAUUCAUGACGCAGGAAAUAUCAAGGGGAUUUUCUUUAUUUGAGGAGGCACUGUUAGUUUUUGAGGCACAGGACCCGAACAUAGAAUGGUACACGAAGGUUGCAGCGGCCGUUCAGAAUGCAAUCCAGAGCUACCGUGUCAUUUCUGACAAGAAAAAAAAGCUACUACUCAGACAUCACUGGAUCGUUCUUUCAAGAGGAUAGAUAGAAUUGAAUCCAGCGAGCAACCAGAACCUGUGCUGACAGUGUCGGGCGUGAGUGAAAUUGCAUCUUGCCCUCCGUCUCCUAUUGCUGGUGAUCCCACCACCUCUCCCUCCUCCAGUCAGUAACUCUUCUCGCCUGUUCACUCGAUGCCAGCCCCUGUAUGCCAGCUGUUGUACU